UGAUAGGAUUUAUUAAAAUCUACCCAAACUAUAUUAAACUCUUAU
rfam:Cicer arietinum chromosome Ca7, whole genome shotgun sequence.